UUAUCAGUAUGCAUUAUAUUUCUAUUUCUAGCACUGCAGUAACUCUAAAAUGUUUUUUCAAAACUCUAAAAUGUUCUUUCAACAAUUACACAUUCGACAACCACUUCCAAUGUGUCCUACAUUGCAUUCAUGCUACUUUAUCCAUUUAUGCAGUCAUGGGUAAUCGAAUGCUGUCAACACUGUCAUUUAAAUAAAAACAGUAGAGCAUCAGUUCAGAAAAUGGAAAGUUCACAUGGAAUGCUGUAAAAAUUGCUGUAAGAUUACAGCCAUGCUGUGGUAAAUUAUGUAAAUUUACAGCUAAUGGUGGGUAAAUUAAGCACUUGCAGUAAAUUUACAGCAUUUAACAGUAAACAGGUUUGUUCCUGAGAAAAAUGGUCUUGCACUGUAAAAAGCAGCACAUGGGGGUGGAGCAUCUUCAAUGCGAGCCAUCUUUCAGUCCUGCAGAAAACUUUGCGGUCAACAAACGGAAUUUCUUAAAAACUCUUACCGUCUGCAUCUACUAAAGAAGGAAACUGUUCAAGGCUCUAAGGACCUUUAAGAUAGCUGAAAUCAUUUGGCGAAGUGAUAUGGAACUGUAAUGCGGUCAAAUAAAUCCUCAAGAUGCCUGGAACUACUUGGACCUGCCUUGAACAUCUGUAGUAUAAAGAGAUCUGGGCGUGAGAACACACUAGUUUCUCUCAUUGGACUGUACAAUUUACACUUUUCUCUUUGACAUUGUUUUUUCAUUGUUAUUUUGCAGUAUGGUUUCAAAAAUAAAUAUUCUCAUUAUUUACUUACCUUGAUGCCAUCCAAGGUGUAUAUGACUUCCUUUAUCAGAACACAAAUGCAUAUUUUUAAUCUGGAGGAAAUUCAAGCUAUGUAGGAUGCAUACAAUGCAAGAAAAUGGCUUCCACCAUUGUGAUUAAAGAAACAAAUCAAUAAGUAAAACAUUCUGACCUUUAAACUAGUGCUUCUCUAGGGCUCUGAUACAUCAGAUUGAUGUUCAUUCUUCUAUUGCAAUCAAAGCAUCAGUUUCUACUUCUCAGUUAAACACGCCAACAUAUUUGUUACACAGCUAUGCAAUGAAUUGAGUGCAGACAGGAAGAGUUUUUUUUAAUUAUUUUUUUUUAGCUUAAUUAGUUCUUUUAUAAACCUAUUGUUUUGCUACAUAAGACAUUAAUUGAUCAGGUUGUGCAUUCAUUACAUUUGGACUUUCCAAAUGAUUGCAGUCUUUCAUUUUCAUGGUAUGCAUCUAUAGAUCUCAAAUUUCUUUCUAAAAAUAUUUCUGUUCUGCUGAAGAAAGGCAGUUGUACACAUCUGGGAUAGCAUCAGGGUAAAUGAAAAUUUGUGUUGGUUAAAGCAAGUGCUGUUUUCCCUUUUCUUAACUUAUUGUUUGUAUUUAUGCUGAGAUUCAGUUUGGGUCAGUUUCAGCCAAUUUGUCAAUGCCUAUUUUUUGCUUGUUUUAAUAAAUAGCAAAUGAUGCACCAUAAUCUAUUUCUUCUUUAUUUAUUUUCGCUCCAUCUAGUAAAAAAUUGUUUGACAUGUCUGUAUGCAUUAUAAACUACAAAUUCCAGAGAUGUGUUAUGUAUUAUGUAAUGUAUUAAUUUUUCUAUAUUGUAGAAUUAUACCUGUAACCAUUGCUGUAAGUACAAUGUAAAAUGGUAAAAUUACGGUAAAUGGCUGGAACCACAGCUGCCAGUACUGUACUGUAAAAUUACAGUAAAGCUGUAAAAUGAACAACAGUAUGGUACUGUUGAAUUACGGUAAAUGGCUGGAACCACAGCUGCCAGUAUUUUACUGUAAAUUUAUGGGUAAACUUUUUUACAGUAAGUUAUAAAUAUGUAGAUCUGUCAAAAACAUAUUUAGAUAUUUGCUUAAAACAGUGCUGUGUGAACUGGUGUGAAGUUUGCCAUUUUCUCAUC